AUACGUAGGGAGCGAGCGUUGUCCGGAAUUACUGGGUGUAAAGGGCGUGUAGGCGGGCUGUCAAGUCAGAUGUGAAAUUCCCGGGCUUAACCUGGGCGCUGCAUUUGAAACUGAUGGUCUUGAGUGCUGGAGAGGAAAGCGGAAUUCCUAGUGUAGCGGUGAAAUGCGUAGAUAUUCGGAGGAACACCAGUGGCGAAGGCGGCUUACUGGUCCAUUACUGACGCUGAGGUGCGAAAGCGUGGGGAGC
rnacentral:rRNA from 1 species